rnacentral:rRNA from 1 species
GACAGAGGGUGGCAAACGUUGCUCGGAAUCACUGGGCGUAAAAGGGCGUGUAGGCGGGGACAGUAAGUACGGGCGUGAAAUCCCUGGGCUCAACCCAGGAACUGCACUCGAAACUACUAUUCUUGAGUGUCGGAGAGGAAAGCGGAAUUCCUGGAUGUAGAGGUGAAAUUCGUAGAUAUCAGGAGGAACACCAGUGGCGAAGGCGGCUUUCUGGAC